rnacentral:rRNA from 1 species
UACGUAUGGUGCAAGCGUUAUCCGGAUUUACUGGGCGUAAAGGGAGCGCAGGCGGUGCGCCAAGUCUGAUGUGAAACCCCGGGGCUCAACCCCGGGCAUGCAUUGGAAACUGGCGGGCUGAGUGCCGGAGAGGUAAGCGGAAUUCCUAGUGUAGCGGUGAAAUGCGUAGAUAUUAGGAGGAACACCAGUGGCGAAGGCGGCUUACUGGACGGCAACUGACGCUGAGGCUCGAAAGCGUGGGGAGCAAACAGG